GACGUAGGGCGCGAGCGUUGUCCGGAUUUAUUGGGCGUAAAGAGCUCGUAGGCGGCUUGUCGCGUCGACUGUGAAAUCCCGCGGCUCAACUGCGGGUCUGCAGUCGAUACGGGCAGGCUAGAGUUCGGUAGGGGAGACUGGAAUUCCUGGUGUAGCGGUGAAAUGCGCAGAUAUCAGGAGGAACACCGGUGGCGAAGGCGGUUCUCUGGGAAGUAUCCUGACGCUGAGGAGCGAAAGUGUGGGGAGCGAACAGG
rnacentral:rRNA from 1 species